AUACGGAGGGUGCAAGCGUUACUCGGAAUCACUGGGCGUAAAGGACGCGUAGGCUGGAAGCCAAGUCUGAUGUGAAAUCCUACAGCUCAACUGUAGAACUGCAUUGGAAACUGGUUACCUAGAGUAUGGGAGGGGGAGAUGGAAUUAGUGGUGUAGGGGUAAAAUCCGUAGAUAUCACUAGGAAUACCGAAAGCGAAGGCGAUCUCCUGGAACAAUACUGACGCUAAGGCGUGAAAGCGUGGGGAGCAAACGGGAUUAGAAACCCUAGUAGUCC
rnacentral:rRNA from 1 species